rnacentral:rRNA from 1 species
GACGAACCGUGCGAACGUUGUUCGGAAUCACUGGGCGUAAAGGGUGCGUAGGUGGCCUGUUAAGUUUGAUGUGAAAGCUCAGGGCUUAACCCUGAAAUGGCAUUGAAUACUAGCGGGCUGGAGGAUUGGAGGGGGGACUGGAAUUCUUGGUGUAGCAGUGAAAUGCGUAGAUAUCAAGAGGAACACCAGUGGCGAAGGCGAGUCCCUGGACAACACCUGACACUGAGGCACGAAAGCCGGGGGAGCAAACAGG